AUCCUCAUCAGUGGUGCUUCUUCUGAAACCUCUAGCGGCGGUGGGCGGGGCCGACCGCGUCACGGCGAGGAUCCCGCGCCUCCAUUGGCUCGUGUCGUGUGUGUGUGUGUGUGUGUGUGUGUGUGUCUCUGUGUGUGUGUGUCCUGAGCAGAGCUGUGUGUGUGUAUGUGUGUAAGAGAGUGUGUGUUGUAAUGGCGCGCGGUGAUGGAGACUAGCACUGCAGCUAAACCGUGUCAGCAGCGACACACACACAACACACUGCAGUGUCUCUGUUCACAGUGUCUAACUCUGUCCCUGUAAUUAAACGACGCUGUCAUCUUGUAUCUCUGACGAGAUUUCACUACAUUCACGUGAUGAAAGUCACGUCUCCUUCACACACUGUCAGGACUUUCACUCAUUCUGUGUAUCUGAAUGAGUAUUAAGUUUGGUAACACUUUAUUUUAAGGUGUUCUUGUUACACGUUACACAUUUACUUACUGUUAUAACAGCAAUAAUUACACACAAGUAACCCAAGACCAAACCCUAACAUAUAGUAAGUAUGUUACAUGUACAUUAGUUGAAUGAUAUUACUCAGUACUUUAAUGUAUAAUCACACUGUAUCAAGGACACCUUAAAAUAAAGUGUGACCCUUUAUUUUAGUAUUUCAGACACUAUUGCUCAGGUAGGACUGAAAUAAUUAUGUUUCUCUAAGUGCUGUUUAAAUCAGAGCUCAUGCAUAUCAUUGAAUGGAUAAAAGAUGAAUGUACUACUAAUAAUGUUAGUAAUUUAAUGAAGAGUAAUGUUUGUGUUCUGUCUGUGUCAGAUCUGAGGGGUCUGUCCUGGAGCGAGCAGGCCGUGUAUGCUCCUGUCAUCCUCCCGAAGUGUCUCGAUGGCUGGACGCUAGGCUUGUGUGCGUCUCGCUGUAUGUUGAGAUUAAUCGCAGCUCAGCCUGAUUCCUGGGCUCUCUCGGCACAUCCAUCAGAGGGAUGGAAACAUGGCUGGAAAAGAGGAGCAUUCACGCUGUGAACCUGCGGUCUGUGUUCACCGCCGAGCAGCAGCGAAUCCUGGAGCGCUAUUAUGAGAGCGGCGUGACCAAUCAGAGCAAGAGCUGCUUCCAGCUCAUCCUGCAGUGUGCGCAGGAGACCAAACUCGACUUCAGCGUGGUCAGAGUACGCCUGCUCCCUUCAUUCAUGCCACACUUCAUUUCAGACGGUUUGAGCUGUUUGUGUUGUAUUUAGUGGGUUUAUCAGUGACUGAUGCCCAUAUCUAAAGGACAGGAGGAUAAAUCAAUGAAAAAUGUGAGUGUGGUGAUUGGACAAUACAGAUAUAUACAAAAUAGCCAAACAUAAAAUAAAACGCAGAGAAUCUGAAAUCUUUAUUCA
ensembl:lncRNA